GGGUUGUGAGGUUAAGCGACUAAGCGUACACGGUGGAUGCCCUGGCAGUCAGAGGCGAUGAAGGACGUGCUAAUCUGCGAUAAGCGUCGGUAAGGUGAUAUGAACCGUUAUAACCGGCGAUUUCCGAAUGGGGAAACCCAGUGUGUUUCGACACACUAUCAUUAACUGAAUCCAUAGGUUAAUGAGGCGAACCGGGGGAACUGAAACAUCUAAGUACCCCGAGGAAAAGAAAUCAACCGAGAUUCCCCCAGUAGCGGCGAGCGAACGGGGAGGAGCCCAGAGCCUGAAUCAGUGUGUGUGUUAGUGGAAGCGUCUGGAAAGGCGCGCGAUACAGGGUGACAGCCCCGUACACAAAAAUGCACAUGCUGUGAGCUCGAUGAGUAGGGCGGGACACGUGGUAUCCUGUCUGAAUAUGGGGGGACCAUCCUCCAAGGCUAAAUACUCCUGACUGACCGAUAGUGAACCAGUACCGUGAGGGAAAGGCGAAAAGAACCCCGGCGAGGGGAGUGAAAAAGAACCUGAAACCGUGUACGUACAAGCAGUGGGAGCACAGAGCAAUCUGUGUGACUGCGUACCUUUUGUAUAAUGGGUCAGCGACUUAUAUUCUGUAGCAAGGUUAACCGAAUAGGGGAGCCGAAGGGAAACCGAGUCUUAACUGGGCGUUAAGUUGCAGGGUAUAGACCCGAAACCCGGUGAUCUAGCCAUGGGCAGGUUGAAGGUUGGGUAACACUAACUGGAGGACCGAACCGACUAAUGUUGAAAAAUUAGCGGAUGACUUGUGGCUGGGGGUGAAAGGCCAAUCAAACCGGGAGAUAGCUGGUUCUCCCCGAAAGCUAUUUAGGUAGCGCCUCGUGAAUUCAUCUCCGGGGGUAGAGCACUGUUUCGGCAAGGGGGUCAUCCCGACUUACCAACCCGAUGCAAACUGCGAAUACCGGAGAAUGUUAUCACGGGAGACACACGGCGGGUGCUAACGUCCGUCGUGAAGAGGGAAACAACCCAGACCGCCAGCUAAGGUCCCAAAGUCAUGGUUAAGUGGGAAACGAUGUGGGAAGGCCCAGACAGCCAGGAUGUUGGCUUAGAAGCAGCCAUCAUUUAAAGAAAGCGUAAUAGCUCACUGGUCGAGUCGGCCUGCGCGGAAGAUGUAACGGGGCUAAACCAUGCACCGAAGCUGCGGCAGCGACGCUUAUGCGUUGUUGGGUAGGGGAGCGUUCUGUAAGCCUGCGAAGGUGUGCUGUGAGGCAUGCUGGAGGUAUCAGAAGUGCGAAUGCUGACAUAAGUAACGAUAAAGCGGGUGAAAAGCCCGCUCGCCGGAAGACCAAGGGUUCCUGUCCAACGUUAAUCGGGGCAGGGUGAGUCGACCCCUAAGGCGAGGCCGAAAGGCGUAGUCGAUGGGAAACAGGUUAAUAUUCCUGUACUUGGUGUUACUGCGAAGGGGGGACGGAGAAGGCUAUGUUGGCCGGGCGACGGUUGUCCCGGUUUAAGCGUGUAGGCUGGUUUUCCAGGCAAAUCCGGAAAAUCAAGGCUGAGGCGUGAUGACGAGGCACUACGGUGCUGAAGCAACAAAUGCCCUGCUUCCAGGAAAAGCCUCUAAGCAUCAGGUAACAUCAAAUCGUACCCCAAACCGACACAGGUGGUCAGGUAGAGAAUACCAAGGCGCUUGAGAGAACUCGGGUGAAGGAACUAGGCAAAAUGGUGCCGUAACUUCGGGAGAAGGCACGCUGAUAUGUAGGUGAAGUCCCUCGCGGAUGGAGCUGAAAUCAGUCGAAGAUACCAGCUGGCUGCAACUGUUUAUUAAAAACACAGCACUGUGCAAACACGAAAGUGGACGUAUACGGUGUGACGCCUGCCCGGUGCCGGAAGGUUAAUUGAUGGGGUCAGCGCAAGCGAAGCUCUUGAUCGAAGCCCCGGUAAACGGCGGCCGUAACUAUAACGGUCCUAAGGUAGCGAAAUUCCUUGUCGGGUAAGUUCCGACCUGCACGAAUGGCGUAAUGAUGGCCAGGCUGUCUCCACCCGAGACUCAGUGAAAUUGAACUCGCUGUGAAGAUGCAGUGUACCCGCGGCAAGACGGAAAGACCCCGUGAACCUUUACUAUAGCUUGACACUGAACAUUGAGCCUUGAUGUGUAGGAUAGGUGGGAGGCUUUGAAGUGUGGACGCCAGUCUGCAUGGAGCCGACCUUGAAAUACCACCCUUUAAUGUUUGAUGUUCUAACGUUGACCCGUGAUCCGGGUUGCGGACAGUGUCUGGUGGGUAGUUUGACUGGGGCGGUCUCCUCCUAAAGAGUAACGGAGGAGCACGAAGGUUGGCUAAUCCUGGUCGGACAUCAGGAGGUUAGUGCAAUGGCAUAAGCCAGCUUGACUGCGAGCGUGACGGCGCGAGCAGGUGCGAAAGCAGGUCAUAGUGAUCCGGUGGUUCUGAAUGGAAGGGCCAUCGCUCAACGGAUAAAAGGUACUCCGGGGAUAACAGGCUGAUACCGCCCAAGAGUUCAUAUCGACGGCGGUGUUUGGCACCUCGAUGUCGGCUCAUCACAUCCUGGGGCUGAAGUAGGUCCCAAGGGUAUGGCUGUUCGCCAUUUAAAGUGGUACGCGAGCUGGGUUUAGAACGUCGUGAGACAGUUCGGUCCCUAUCUGCCGUGGGCGCUGGAGAACUGAGGGGGGCUGCUCCUAGUACGAGAGGACCGGAGUGGACGCAUCACUGGUGUUCGGGUUGUCAUGCCAAUGGCACUGCCCGGUAGCUAAAUGCGGAAGAGAUAAGUGCUGAAAGCAUCUAAGCACGAAACUUGCCCCGAGAUGAGUUCUCCCUGACUCCUUGAGAGUCCUGAAGGAACGUUGAAGACGACGACGUUGAUAGGCCGGGUGUGUAAGCGCAGCGAUGCGUUGAGCUAACCGGUACUAAUGAACCGUGAGGCUUAACCUUACAACGCCGAAGCUGUU
rnacentral:rRNA from 1 species